rnacentral:rRNA from 1 species
GAGUUUGAUCCUGGCUCAGGAUGAACGCUAGCGGCAGGCUUAAUACAUGCAAGUCGUGGGGCAGCAUGAAUGUAGCAAUACAUUUGAUGGCGACCGGCAAACGGGUGCGGAACACGUACACAACCUCCCGAGAAGUGGGGAAUAGCCCAGAGAAAUUUGGAUUAAUACCCCGUAACAUAGUUGAAAUGGCAUCAUUUUACUAUUAUAGUUUUAUUACGCUUCUUGAUGGGUGUGCGGCUGAUUAGAUAGUUGGCGGGGUAACGGCCCACCAAGUCUACGAUCAGUAGCUGAUGUGAGAGCAUGAUCAGCCACACGGGCACUGAGACACGGGCCCGACUCCUACGGGAGGCAGCAGUAAGGAAUAUUGGUCAAUGGGCGAAAGCCUGAACCAGCCAUGCCGCGUGAAGGAUUAAGGUCCUCUGGAUUGUAAACUUCUUUUAUCUGGGACGAAAAAAGGCGAUUCUUCGUCACUUGACGGUACCAGAUGAAUAAGCACCGGCUAACUCCGUGCC